GGCGCAGUCCAAACCAUGUCAAGUCCAAGAUGGAAGGAGAUAAGAUAAUUUCAAAAUGAGGUCGCAGAUAGGGCACAAAGGAAAUCAGGAAUGCAAAGCAAGAAACUUAAAGACGUAGAGGGGAAGACUCCAACAGAGAAAAAGGCAAUACAGACGUGGAGUGAGGGAUGAGGGUGGCACUGGCUAGGCUAACAUUUAUUGCCCAUCCAAAAUUUCCCAGAGGGCAGCCAUGAGUCAACUAUAUUGCUGUGGGACUGGAGUCACAUGUAGGCCGGACUAGAACAGAUAUUGUGUAGCAGGUGUUCCAGCAAGAUCUGUUCCCUGGUGAUUGCAGCAACAUUAUGGAAAACACAAGGAAUUUGUUAAAAUCUACAUUAUACCAAG